rnacentral:rRNA from 1 species
GACGAACGCUGGCGGCGUGCCUAAUACAUGCAAGUUGAGCGCUAACGGCUGGUACUUGUACCUACUGAUUGAGCAGCGCACGGGUGAGUAACGGGUGGGGAAUCUGCAUUUGAGCGGGGGACAAGAUUUGGAAACGGAAGCUAAUACCACAUAACAACUUUAAACAACAAAUUUAAGUGUGAAAGAUUCAAUUGCAUCACUCAAAGAUGAGCCAUCGUUGUAUUAGCUAGUUGGUGAGGGAAAGGCUCACCAAGGCGAUGAUACAUAGCCGAACGGAAAGGGGGAUCGGCGCCCCUGGGACUGGGACACGGCCCAAACUCCUACGGGUGGCAGCAGUAGGGAUUCUUCGGAAAUGGACGAAAGUCUGACCGAGAAACGCCGCGUGAGUGAAGAAGGUUUUCGGAUCGUAAAACUCUGUCGGUUGAGAAGAGCGUUGGUGGGGGGGGAAAGCUCAUCUAGUGACGGUACCUAACCAGAAAGGGACGGCUAACUACGUG